GAUGAACGCUAGCUACAGGCUUAACACAUGCAAGUCGAGGGGCAGCAUGAACUUAGCUUGCUAAGUUUGAUGGCGACCGGCGCACGGGUGAGUAACACGUAUCCAACCUGCCGAUGACUCGGGGAUAGCCUUUCGAAAGAAAGAUUAAUACCCGAUGGCAUAGUUCUUCCGCAUGGUAGAACUAUUAAAGAAUUUCGGUCAUCGAUGGGGAUGCGUUCCAUUAGGUUGAUGGCGGGGUAACGGCCCACCAAGCCUUCGAUGGAUAGGGGUUCUGAGAGGAAGGUCCCCCACAUUGGAACUGAGACACGGUCCAAACUCCUACGGGAGGCAGCAGUGAGGAAUAUUGGUCAAUGGACGAGAGUCUGAACCAGCCAAGUAGCGUGAAGGAUGACUGCCCUAUGGGUUGUAAACUUCUUUUAUACGGGAAUAAAGUGAGGCACGUGUGCCUUUUUGUAUGUACCGUAUGAAUAAGGAUCGGCUAACUCCGUG
rnacentral:rRNA from 1 species